UUCAUGCAAAAAUGUAGGCAGCCUAAAUUUGUGCCGUCGUUAUUUAUUUACUUAUUUUUCAUUCUUUGUUGCCGUUUUUCAUUUCCUUUCUCUCGACUCUCCUUCCUGUCAGGCGCUUUUACUACCGUUCGCGUUGUCAUCCGCCACCAUCACGGCGCUUCAUUCAGCUGAUCAUUAACGCCUCCGUCCACACUCCACCACCGGUACUCCUAUCUCUCUCUCUCUCUCGGUAUCUCUUUCUCUUUUCACAAACGAGAAAAAGGUUUAUUUGGAGCGGAAGAAAAUGGAAUACCCAUAAGGUUUGUUAAAUGGUAGGUUGUUAUUGUUGUUGCUGCUUCACUGGGCACGCUUGUGGGUUCCUUUUGCACAUAUUUUAAAAGGUAGAUUCCUCUCUGUGGUUUAGUUUGGUUCUGCUUAUUCCUCUCUCCUCUUUCUUUCUACGUUCUUAUCAUUUUGGUCCAAGUGAAGCAACUGCAAAUCUUGGUAGAAACUAGGUGUUUAAAAUCUAGUUUUGGUAGCGUGUGUUGCUUUUCCAAAAGAUAUUUCAGGUGCUAUUUGUUGCAAUGUGCAUAUGCUAUUUUGAAUAGAUUACGAAAUGAAUUUAAGCUAAAGAUUUAAUAUUCUUAAUCAUAAGCUAUAGGUGUUGAGUGUUAAAAGGUUUUAAAAGAAGCCAGCCAAAAGUCCAUUUGUUAAUUACCUAAAGGACCAGUUAAUGCUGUAGCCGAGAAAUAUUCUACUCAUCAUUUCCUUUUAUUUACAAAUCAAAUACUUAACUUUAAACAUUAUCAAAUGACAUAUUAGUUACCAUGACGCAUGAUCGGAUUAGAUAGACAUUGUUGUUGGUUGGAAUAGAUGAAUAGUGCUGCUGGCUGGCUACCAUGAUGCAUGCAAAUAAGGGAUUUUAUGUGAUAGAGGAUUUGGGUAUUUUAUAACUCUUAAGAAUGUGAAAGGGCAACAAAUGAAAGAGAAAGUUCGACUCAAUUAUGUUAUUUCCAUAAUUGUUUACCUCUUUGUAAUGUCUCUCAGCUAUUUAUGUUUUCUUAUUUCUUUUUAUGUUAUCAAUCUUCUACAGUUCUGCUCUUGUAAUUAACGACGGACAGAUUGAAUUGCGCAGAUUAAUUUAUUUAUUUAUUCUACUCCAGUUUUAUAGUUUGGAGAUUCAACCGGUUAUCUCCUGUUUGCAGUUAAAAGAAAGAUGCCACACAGAACACGGCCUAUGACAGCUCUCUUGUCGUUUACUGGACUUAAUGUCGCCUUGGUGUCGAGUAUCACUCCAGUCUAUGAUUUUGUGUGCUUCCAUCCUUACUGGGAAAGAAGGGACCACUUUUUCUGUUGCACUGGUCCGUACUUACGGAUACCACAGAGACUCUAUCCAUGUCAGGAGGUCAUUUAAUUUCCCUCGGCGCAAGUGGGUGGGGCUGCGAAGUGACUGGGGCUGCGAAGUGACUGGGCCUACUGUUUUUCUCUUGUCAAAUCACAUAGCCAAAUUUCGGCUUUCCUGAUUUGGGUUUUUUGACAACUCGGCCUGUUGCUUGUACUGGAAUCCGGGCUGAAGUAGUUGGUCAGACCUGCCGAGGGGCGCUCCGGGCUUGAGGCCUGUUUCGAGGUCCGUUCUGUCUCUGUGGGCCUCUACCCGGCCCAGAGGGGAGCGAACCCUGACGGUUAUCACACUUGAUUCCGAUACACGACUUCUCCUCUUGGAUAUUAUUUUUCAAUGGAAUAGAUGCAUUUUACUUGUUAUUAUGCAGUAAAAGAUAUAGCAGGACCCAUUUAUUAGGCAAGUGACACGCAAAAUUGAUCAUGAACUAGAAAGGAACUAGCUCUACAUAUAGACUAAGCAGACAUGGAUUGCAUCUUGCUGAGGUUUUGAAUAUCGAAGGAAUGUGGAGAGAUAUGUUCGUACGCCUUAUUUAACUGAAUACCUAUGUGCACCAAGUAGUGUUGAUAUCUGUAGCUUGUUGAGGUUGAUAUCAGAUGAACAAUUGACAAAUAUGUCUCCAUAUGGUAGACUAUUUAAUAGAUCUUCUUGUUAUUCAUUGUCCUGGAUUUGCUUCAGAGAGAACACGAGAGGCAGGAAGGUGAAGCUGCUUUAACAAAGGCUUCUCCAUGAACCCAGAAGGAUCUUCGAUGUUACAGAUGAUUGGACUUCAUCAAUAGAAUAAUGUAUGAUAAUGUGAUUCUCUUGCACUAUUUUUUCUUGGGCAUUUGUGGGAGAGGAAAAGAAGACCCGAGAAGUUUCAUGGUGUCAUUUAUAUAUGAAGCUUCUUCAUCAUAGCAGAUCCUUGGGCAAUGCAAAACGAUUUUUCCCUGAAAAAUUCCCAAUUUUAGAGGACCUACGGCUUGGAAAAUACUGAUUUUUUUUAUGAAGACAUGCAAAUAAGGAAUUCAUAUGUUUCAUUUUAUUUUUUUUGUUAGAGCGAUCAUUAAUGAGAGUUCUUUUCUUUGAUACCGCGGUAACAGACUCACUUUGAUGGAUGUGGUGGUCAAAUCUCUUCAGACGGGUUCUGUGGAGACUGUGUAAGGAACUCAUUAAAUAGAAUGUGCUUGUAUCUUUC